rnacentral:ncRNA from 1 species
ACCAGGCCGACUAAAAACUUCAUGAUAUCUAGACAGCCCACAGUAGGUAUUGAUGAAAUGUGAUUUCUAUACAAUGCUCUAAAUGUCAAUGUGAAGAAAUUCAGUGAAGCUGAGGUAGGUGGCAUAAAUCUCUUAAGGCAGCCAAAUGCCUGGACAUCUAAUUAGUGAUAUAUAUAAAUGGGUGAUCAAGAU